GAUGAACGCUGGCGGCGUGCCUAAUACAUGCAAGUCGAGCGAACGGACGAGAAGCUUGCUUCUCUGAUGUUAGCGGCGGACGGGUGAGUAACACGUGGAUAACCUACCUAUAAGACUGGGAUAACUUCGGGAAACCGGAGCUAAUACCGGAUGAUAUUUUGAACCGCAUGGUUCAAAAGUGAAAGACGGUCUUGCUGUCACUUAUAGAUGGAUCCGCGCUGCAUUAGCUAGUUGGUAAGGUAACGGCUUACCAAGGCAACGAUGCAUAGCCGACCUGAGAGGGUGAUCGGCCACACUGGAACUGAGACACGGUCCAGACUCCUACGGGAGGCAGCAGUAGGGAAUCUUCCGCAAUGGGCGAAAGCCUGACGGAGCAACGCCGCGUGAGUGAUGAAGGUCUUCGGAUCGUAAAACUCUGUUAUUAGGGAAGAACAUAUGUGUAAGUAACUGUGCACAUCUUGACGGUACCUAAUCAGAAAGCCACGGCUAACUACGUGCCAGCAGCCGCGGUAAUACGUAGGUGGCAAGCGUUAUCCGGAAUUAUUGGGCGUAAAGCGCGCGUAGGCGGUUUUUUAAGUCUGAUGUGAAAGCCCACGGCUCAACCGUGGAGGGUCACUGGAAACUGGAAAACUUGAGUGCAGAAGAGGAAAGUGGAAUUCCAUGUGUAGCGGUGAAAUGCGCAGAGAUAUGGAGGAACACCAGUGGCGAAGGCGACUUUCUGGUCUGUAACUGACGCUGAUGUGCGAAAGCGUGGGGAUCAAACAGGAUUAGAUACCCUGGUAGUCCACGCCGUAAACGAUGAGUGCUAAGUGUUAGGGGGUUUCCGCCCCUUAGUGCUGCAGCUAACGCAUUAAGCACUCCGCCUGGGGAGUGCGACCGCAAGGUUGAAACUCAAAGGAAUUGACGGGGACCCGCACAAGCGGCGGAGCAUGUGGUUUAAUUCGAAGCAACGCGAAGAACCUUACCAAAUCUUGACAUCCUUUGACAACUCUAGAGAUAGAGCCUUCCCCUUCGGGGGACAAAGUGACAGGUGGUGCAUGGUUGUCGUCAGCUCGUGUCGUGAGAUGUUGGGUUAAGUCCCGCAACGAGCGCAACCCUUAAGCUUAGUUGCCAUCAUUAAGUUGGGCACUCUAAGUUGACUGCCGGUGACAAACCGGAGGAAGGUGGGGAUGACGUCAAAUCAUCAUGCCCCUUAUGAUUUGGGCUACACACGUGCUACAAUGGACAAUACAAAGGGCAGCGAAACCGCGAGGUCAAGCAAAUCCCAUAAAGUUGUUCUCAGUUCGGAUUGUAGUCUGCAACUCGACUACAUGAAGCUGGAAUCGCUAGUAAUCGUAGAUCAGCAUGCUACGGUGAAUACGUUCCCGGGUCU
rnacentral:rRNA from 1 species